GGGUAUGGUGAUGAUACAAGAGUAUUGUGGACUAGAGUUUCAGAUCUGGGAUUCUUCUCCCAGAAGUUGAAGAUUAACCCUUGGCUGUCUGAGCAAAAAAAAAAAAAAAAAAAAAAAAAAAA
rnacentral:snoRNA from 1 species